UCCUACGGGAGGCAGCAGUGGGGAAUAUUGCGCAAUGGAGGAAACUCUGACGCAGCCAUGCCGCGUGAGUGAAGAAGGCCUUAGGGUUGUAAAACUCUUUCGCUAGGGAAGAUAAUGACGGUACCUAGUAAAGAAGCCCCGGCCAACUCCGUGCCAGCAGCCGCGGUAAUACGGAGGGGGCUAGCGUUGUUCGGAAUUACUGGGCGUAAAGCGCGCGUAGGCGGGCUGGUUAGUUGGGGGUGAAAUCCCAGGGCUCAACCCUGGAACUGCCCUCAAUACUGCCAGUCUUGAGUUCGAGAGAGGUAAGUGGAAUUCCUAGUGUAGAGGUGAAAUUCGUAGAUAUUAGGAAGAACACCAGUGGCGAAGGCGGCUUACUAGCUCGAUACUGACGCUGAGGCGCGAAAGCGUGGGGAGCAAACAGGAUUAGAUACCCCAGUAGUCCAAGCCG
rnacentral:rRNA from 1 species